UGGCACAUGCGCAGUGCAAGUUGGAUGUCCCAGCUGUGUGAAUGGUUCGCCGGUCGUGCUCAAUCAUCCUGACCUCCGGUCCAGUGGAAAGUCUAGGAUGAAGCUGGAACUUACAGACACAUGGAGACACAAAUACUCUUCUAAACCUCCUGUUGUGGGCAACACACACAAAAUGCUGGAGAAACUCAGCAGGCCAGGGGGCAUCUAUGGAAAAGAGUCGACGUUUCGGUCCAAGACCCUUCAUCAGGACUCGUCUUAUUUUUGGUUGCUGUUUGAUAAACCAUCAACAACUUUAACACAAUAGGCACCUAACCAUUCAUUGCAGAAUCCUGCACCAAAACUUGGAAUUGUGGCAAUACAAUCCUCCGACUGUGUUGGUCUUUGACCCAAAGCAACGCAUUUCUCUGUAUGUUUCGAUGUGCAAGUGACAAAUUAAUAAAGCUAAUCUGAAUCUUUA